rnacentral:lncRNA from 1 species
CAUCAAAGAGUUCAACGACUUCAAGUCAAAGAUGGGUAUUAGAUACUGUGCCGAUUGGCUUUAGGCUAAGUGGGAGUUGUUGGAAAUUGUACCCUAAGAGUCAAUCGUCAGCAUGUUGAUGAUUGAUUUUGUAAAUGAAUUGACAAAUUAAUAAAGUAUUAUUUUGGCAUUAUUCAUCAUUUUUUUGUACAUCUUUAAAUGAACUCUUGUAGUAUGAUGAAGUCCUUAGGAUUCUUUUAUGAUAAAGGAGGAUUUAUCU